GGCGGUAUAGCUCAGUUGGUUAGAGCAACGGAAUCAUAAUCCGUGUGUCGCUGGUUCGAAUCCUGCUACCGCUA
rnacentral:tRNA from 1 species